rnacentral:ncRNA from 1 species
UAGCGUUACUUAUAGCUGAUCUUAUACAUGCAAGCAUCCACAACCCAGUGCAUAUAGCCCACCCAUAAACUGGAGCAGAUAUCAGGCACACACCUGUAGCCCACAACAUCUAGCUACGCCACACCCCCACGGAAUACAGCAGUGAUAGACAUUAAGCCAUGAGCCUCCAGCCCCUAAAGCUCGACUUAGAUACAGCCAACAACCCCGGCCGGUAAACUCCGUGCCAGCCACCGCGGUUACACGAAGGGCCUCAAAUAACCCCACGCGGCGUAAAACGUGACUAGAAGCCAAUUUUCACUGUGGGCCUACAACCUAAAUACAGUCGUAAAACGCACACAUCAAAGGGACCCCCUCCUAGCCCCAUUAACAAAUCACCUUUGACCACACGAAAUCUGAGAAACAAACUAGGAUUAGAUACCCUACUAUGCCCAGACAUAAACCCAGGCAGCAACCUAACCCACACUGCCCGCCAGAGAACUACACGCACCCUAGCGUAAAACUCAAAGGACUUGACGGUGUCUCAUAUCGCCCUAGAGGAGCCUGUCCUAUAAUCGAUAAUCCACGCUAUACCUCACCCCCCAUUGCAAAAACUUUCCAGCCUAUAUACCGCCGUCACCAGCUCACCUUUUGAAAGCCAAAUAGUGUGCAAAACAAUCCACCACUAAAACGUCAGGUCAAGGUGUAGCUAAUUGGGGGGCAGCGAUGGGCUACAUUUUCUAUUAAUAGAAGCCCCCAGCAGCAUGAAACAAUGCCAUAAGACGGAUUUAGCAGUAAACAGAGCAAGAAUCGCCCAAUUGAAGCUCGCCCUGAGACGCGUACACACCGCCCGUCACCCUCCUCAACAAACCAAAAUAUAAAGCUAAUUAAGCCGCCCUUUACCCCAACCCUAGAUGAGGUAAGUCGUAACAUGGUAAGUGUACUGGAAAGUGCACUUGGCAAAAC